rnacentral:rRNA from 1 species
UACGUAGGGUGCGAGCGUUGUCCGGAAUUAUUGGGCGUAAAGAGCUUGUAGGCGGUUUGUCGCGUCUGCUGUGAAAAUCCGGGGCUCAACCCCGGACUUGCAGUGGGUACGGGCAGACUAGAGUGUGGUAGGGGAGACUGGAAUUCCUGGUGUAGCGGUGAAAUGCGCAGAUAUCAGGAGGAACACCGAUGGCGAAGGCAGGUCUCUGGGCCACUACUGACGCUGAGAAGCGAAAGCGUGGGGAGCAAACGGG